AAAACUACCAGCACAAACCAAACCAAGGAUACAACUGUAGCCAACCAAACAACAAGAAAAGACUUCGCUACUGACUUCAAGUUUGGUUGCUCCACUUCUGCUUUUCAGAUAGAAGGAAAAGGUGAUGAAGGAGGGAGAGGACCAGCGACCUGGGAUAGUUAUAUCCAAGAUGAUGAUGGAAUCA